rnacentral:rRNA from 1 species
GACGAACGCUGGCGGCGUGCCUAAUACAUGCAAGUUGAGCGAUGAAGAUUGGUGCUUGCACCAAUUUGAAGAGCAGCGAGCGGGUGAGUAACGCGUGGGGAAUCUGCCUUUGAGCGGGGGACAACAUUUGGAAACGAAUGCUAAUACCGCAUAACAACUUUAAACAUAAGUUUUAAGUUUGAAAGAUGCAAUUGCAUCACUCAAAGAUGAUCCCGCGUUGUAUUAGCUAGUUGGUGAGGUAAAGGCUCACCGAGGCGAUGAUACAUAGCCGACCUGAGAGGGUGAUCGGCCACAUUGGGACUGAGACACGGCCCAAACUCCUACGGGAGGCAGCAGUAGGGAAUCUUCGGCAAUGGACGAAAGUCUGACCGAGCAACGCCGCGUGAGUGAAGAAGGGUUUCGGAUCGUAAAACUCUGUUGGUAGAGAAGAACGUUGGUGAGAGUGGAAAGCUCAUCAAGUGACGGUAACUACCCAGAAAGGGACGGCUAACUACGUG